UUGCUGCAAGGAAAUUCUAGAGAGGUGAAAAAUUAAGGAAUAAAGAUUAAAAUUAAAGUUUAAGCACUCAUAAGCCCAGCCCUGACUCAGUCUCCAUUUUCAUACGGAGAAAAAGAAAGUAAAACUUCAGUAGUUUAUCUAGAGGGCUUCAGUUAAGCAGAGAUCUUCCAUUUUUUUUCAUUGAGGCCAUCUGACCUUGGAGUGAAAUCUCAGGGAGAAAGUACCAGCUGGACUGAGUGUGCUAAAACCAGAGCCACAGUCUAUCUUAAAAGCCGGUCCCCUCGUAUCAGAUCUCAGCAGCAGCUGCAGCAACAUGCACUCCAUCGAUGCAGGAGCAGAACCGAAGUAUGAAACUGAAGUAUGAAAGCUGUGCCAGAGCUGAGCACUGGAAAGCAGAUUAGGCCGUCACAUAUGCGGAACAGGAAGACGAUAUGGUGAAACAAGAGCGAAGAAACAGGGAGAGCAGGAGGGAUGGUACCUGCCUGUCCAUCUUUCCAGGUACCGACAUGGGGCAUUUGAAGCUUCAAAUCAGUGCUCAUUCCAUUCCUGGCUGCUCUAACAUGCCCCAGGAUCAACAGUCAUGCCUAAAUUGUGGCAAGACACAUAGAAAGUCCCCGGCAAUGGGAAGAGCACGGGCAGGGGCUCUUCUCUUGAAGCAGGCUGCUGAGGAGGAUUUUCAGACUUUGCAAAGAAGGCCAGAGACACUUAGAUCUAAAUUGAGAGACAGAGCAGCACAGGUCAAAGAUCCUUUAGAAGAGCAUCUGGAACAGGGGCAUGAUCCCAUCCCUCAGAGAGCUCAAGGCCAGGCUUUUAUUUCAAUUCUAAAUGUUCUUCUCCAUCUGAAAAUAAUGGUUUUUACAGCAUGAGGAAUCAGGCCGGGCUGCGCAAUAGUUUCACAUACAAAUGUGACAUGGGAACAGGACAAUACAGGGAAGGAAACAAAAGGCAGACGUUGCAUCCCAUUGAAGCAGCAGGGCACAUCCCAGGCAUGCCAAAAGCAAUUACUGGAAUGGGAACGCAGCCAGCCUGCCACAGCCAACAGCUAUCCUUAGAAAAUAGCCAUACGGCAGCAGGACUGCAGCUUUAUGUUGUGUCAAAGAUGGGGCACCUCCAAAACCACACUGUUAUGUAAUAUUUCAGGAUACUGAAGCAGAGAACAAAAGUAACACCUAGCAAAUUAUCAGUAGCUUCCCAGACCAGGGAAUUCUGUAUCAGGGUGAUCAGAAGCUUAACUUCUCCUGAAGUUACAGUUCAAGAAGAUUUUAAGCCUAUAUUUAAAAAUAAGCAUGACUGCAAUUCUUUUCAUGAGCAUCAGGGGUUUUUCUCAGCCAGAACCUAGGUGACAAAAAAAGUCAAGUUCAUCAGUUUCUUGCUAAUCCUUAAGAGGAUAUUUCACACCAUUAUGAAAGCUGUCCAUGACGAGAAGGUGCUCAGAUACCAUGGUUACA